CCAUAAGUCAAUCAAACAGGCAAAACAUCAGUACAGAGACAAAGUGGAGUCGCAAUUCAACAGCUCAGAUAUGAGACGUAUGUGGCAAGGUCUACAGACAAUCACGGACUACAAAGGGAAAACCAGCCACAUCGCGGACACAGACGUCUUGCUUCCUGACAAGCUAAACACCUUCUUCGCCCGCUUUGAGGAUAACACAGUGCCACCACACGGCCUGCUACCAAGGACUGUGGGCUCUCCUUCUCUGUGGCAGAUUCUGCUGUCCCCACUUGCUUCAAGAUGUCCACUAUUGUUCCUGUACCUAAGAAAGCAAAGGCCGGUGGUAGCUGGUCCGCUGCAGGACGCUGAGGUGCGGAGUUCCCUCCGCCCCCCCUGGACAUCGGGGGGGCUCCGGCGUACACAGUCCGGUCCAUCUUGGACUCCCGACGUCGGGUGGGGGGCCUGCAGUACCUCGUGGACUGGGAGGGGUAUGGCCCGGAGGAGAGGUGCUGGGUCCCGGUGGGGGACAUUCUGGAUCCAGCCCUGCUGCAGGAAUUCCACAGCCUCCGUCCGGAUCGCCCUGCGCCUCGCCCUACGGGUCGUCCCCGAGGCCGGCGUCGGCGCGCUGCGGGGGCCGGCGUCGGCGCGCUGCGGGAGCCGCGCGUCGGGGGGGGGGUACUGUCACAACGUCCACAGAAGGUGGCGCCUCUCCCCGGUCGGGCGGUGCUCGGCGGUCGUCGUCGCCGGCCUACUAGCUGCCACCGAUCCAUGUUUCUGUGUCUUUUGGUUAUGUCUGUUUAGUUCUGCACCUGUUUCUUGUUAGUCAUUAGUGGGGGUUAUUUAGUUUGUCUGUUUCGUUUGUGGAUUCGUGCGGGAUUGUUGCUUGUCAUGCUUUAUGUGGUAGUCAGGAGUCUCUUGUGUUCUGCUACGUCGCGUAUUUUGUUAGGCAUUAGGGUUGCCGGGCUGCUCCCUGUCUGUUUGGAUUUUGGAGCUGUCCUCCUGUCUAUUUUUUGACUGUGCACCCUGCCUUGUUGCGGCAUAUUUCUCUGUGAUUAUUAAACGUCUGUUCAACGGACCUAAGUCUCCUGCGCUUGACUCUACCCCUUUCCUGCUAUCUAAGGAUAUCGUGACACUGCCAGUUAGUUGACUUUUGAACGGUAGUGUAUAUAUAAAAAAAUCUUGCGUAUCUUAAUUUCCACAAUUCACAAAUAAUAUGCGUAAUAAUGUAUACAGUUCAUGCAAAUGUUUUACCUAUAACCAGUAUUGCCAUUACAAAGAUUAUGUU
rnacentral:lncRNA from 1 species